CGGGGGGCAGCAGUGGGGAAUCUUGCGCAAUGGGCGAAAGCCUGACGCAGCAACGCCGCGUGCGGGAUGAAGGCCUUCGUGGUUGUAAACCGCUUUCAGCAGGGACGAAAAUGACGGUACCUGCAGAAGAAGCCCCGGCUAACUACGUGCCAGCAGCCGCGGUAAUACGUAGGGGGCAAGCGUUGUCCGGAAUCAUUGGGCGUAAAGAGCUCGUAGGCGGUUCAGUAAGUCAGGUGUGAAAGCUCCGAGCUCAACUCGGAGAGGCCACCUGAUACUGCUGUGACUAGAAUCCAGUAGGGGAGUGUGGAACUCCUGGUGUAGCGGUGAAAUGCGCAGAUAUCAGGAAGAACACCAGCGGCGAAGGCGGCACUCUGGGCUGGAAUUGACGCUGAGGAGCGAAAGUGUGGGUAGCAAACAGGAUUAGAUACCCCAGU
rnacentral:rRNA from 1 species